rnacentral:rRNA from 1 species
CCUACGGGAGGCUGCAGUGGGGAAUAUUGGACAAUGGGGGCAACCCUGAUCCAGCCAUGCCGCGUGUGUGAAGAAGGCCCUCGGGUUGUAAAGCACUUUCAGUGAGGAAGAACGCCUGGUGGUUAAUACCCAUCAGGAAAGACAUCACUCACAGAAGAAGCACCGGCUAACUCCGUGCCAGCAGCCGCGGUAAUACGGAGGGUGCGAGCGUUAAUCGGAAUUACUGGGCGUAAAGCGCGCGUAGGUGGCUUGAUAAGCCGGUUGUGAAAGCCCCGGGCUCAACCUGGGAACGGCAUCCGGAACUGUCAAGCUAGAGUGCAGGAGAGGAAGGUAGAAUUCACGGUGUAGCGGUGAAAUGCGUAGAGAUCGGGAGGAAUACCAGUGGCGAAGGCGGCCUUCUGGACUGACACUGACACUGAGGUGCGAAAGCGUGGGUAGCAAACAGGAUUAGAUACCCCGGUAGUC